GAAAUUACCGGUAAGUAUGGUGUCUGAACAAGACUUAAUAGGGAAUCUGGUGAGAAUCCAGAACUGUUCCCGCAACUGUAAGUGCUGACGAAAUAAGGAUGAACCACUGUCUAAAAAAUAGAUGGGAAGGCCUUAAAGUAGGGUGAAGCACAAGUCAGGAGACCUGCCAUAUUUAUUCGUGUUAUC
rnacentral:ncRNA from 16 species